AGAGAGAGAGAGAGAUGGACUGCUCUGUUCUGCACGUGCACACAGGUGUGUUGCUCCAGCGGUCCAAUCAGAGAGCAGCAGGCCGUUCUGCCUCCACGCGCACUGUUCACGCGAACUUUAGCUAGUUUGGUAACUUCCGGUUGGUCCCACUCGCCCCGUCGCGUCCUCGCCCAGGUGGAGGGAAGGUGUCCGGGCUGAGGCCUCCUCGGAGCGGGCACGGUGAGCAGCAGCAGCCACUAGCGGCGGAGGAGUCAAAACUUCACCCGGAGACGCAGCGUUCAGUUUCUUUGCUCCACCGACAUGGAAACAGCUCCCGGAAAACUGCAGAAAGAGCUUCGUGGGAGACGAGGGGUGGAUUCAGAUCGUCCUUCCUGUCGUCUUUUCCUCUCUUCUGUUCCUUGACCUCAGUGGAAAAGGUCACGAGGUCAAGGAAAGGUGUCAAGGAGGAUUAAUAGGAAUUAUGAAAAGAGAAUCCG